UGGGAACGUACCUCUUGGUUCGGAACAACACAGGGAAACUUGUGCUAAUACCGGAUAAGCCCUUACGGGGAAAGAUUUAUCGCCGAGAGAUCGGCCCGCGUCUGAUUAGUUAGUUGGUGAGGUAACGGCUCACCAAGGCGACGAUCAGUAGCUGGUCUGAGAGGAUGAUCAGCCACACUGGGACUGAGACACGGCCCAGACUCCUACGGGAGGCAG
rnacentral:rRNA from 1 species